CUGUACUCUGUGACACGCCGGCAAGUUUGUCUCCUGUCUCAUCACUCGUAAAUUCCAAACGGAUUACCCCCUGUCUCUGACAUGUUGAGAAAGACAAGUAGAAGAGGGCCAUGCCUGUGGUGUACGGAAGAAGGAAACGUCCAUUCUAAUAUCCUGUCUGGGGCAUAUACUCUCUCACGUCUAUCAGUGGAUCUGGCUGGAUCUGGUGUAGGGAGGAUGCAACCACACUGAUAUCUGAUGUUCUCCUUGUUCUCUCUCUUUUUACAUUCAACAUGGCAAGGACAUGCAGCAAAUUACUAGGGAAAGGAGACACGUAUCCUACGUGGUUUAUGAGUGUGUGUGUGUGUGUGUGUGUGUGUGUGUGUGUGUGUGUGUGUAGAAAUAAAGUCAUAGAGAGUGUAAGAGUGUUAAAUGAGAGUUUGGAAAAUACAGAGUUAUAUAUUUUUUUAAACCUCAAAUGUUGUGUAAUGUUAAAAUGGUUACUGUAAAUGUACACUAACCAGCUGCUGCACUUCCCCCUGUCACAAUUCAAAUAAACUUUUUUUGCAACAUUA